GGAUUCACCCCUGGAGCUGAGACGGGUGGCCACUGAGGGCUGGGGGAAAGGCAGAGACGCAGCAGGACACGAUGCGGCAGGACCCAGUGUUCCACGCAAGGACCUGCAGUCCUGGUUCAAAUCCAGACACUGCCAUAGGAAGCUUAGCUCUACGUGAGGAGAUUAGCGACUGUUCCAUGCGGGAAACAAACCAACCAAGCCAAAGCCUGCAAGUCUCUCCCAAGCUGCCAGCAAGUGAGCCAGGUGGACCUCCAGGGCGUAGGAUGCAGCUGGGAAAACAACCGACCCGCUGCUUUUCCGGGUCCCUGCGCUUGCUGCGUCUCCUCUGGCUGCAGAGACUCAGCCCGGCUCAGAGCUGGGGAACUCGGUUAUUCUUUUGAAGCGUCAAGGGCACUUGUCAGCUUUGAAAUAAUACAUUUGCUGGCUUGAAUUUCAAAUAGCUUAACGCCCCCUGUGCUACCUAGCUGUGAUCUGAAGGACUGACUGUUCAGGCCUUCAAGUACCAAAUAAAUGAACCAUGAGACUCCAG
rnacentral:lncRNA from 10 species